ACGGGGGGGGCAAGCGUUGUUCGGAAUUACUGGGCGUAAAGGGCUCGUAGGUGGCCAACUAAGUCGGACGUGAAAUCCCUCGGCUUAACCGGGGAACUGCGUCCGAUACUGGUUGGCUUGAGUUUGGGAGAGGGAUGCGGAAUUCCAGGUGUAGCGGUGAAAUGCGUAGAUAUCUGGAGGAACACCAAUGGCGAAAGCAGGUUACUGGCCCAAUACUGACACUGAGCUGCGAAAGCUAGGGGAGCAAACAGGA
rnacentral:rRNA from 1 species